CAGCAGUAGGGAAUCUUCGGCAAUGGACGGAAGUCUGACCGAGCAACGCCGCGUGAGUGAUGAAGGUUUUCGGAUCGUAAAACUCUGUUGCCAGGGAAGAAAGGCUAGGGGAGUCACUGCCCUUGGAUUGACGGUACCUGAGAAGAAGGCCCCGGCUAACUACGUGCCAGCAGCCGCGGUWAUACGUAGGGGGCAAGCGUUGUCCGGAAUUAUUGGGCGUAAAGCGCGCGCAGGCGGCGAUUUAAGUCUGGUGUAUAAACCAGGGGCUCAACCCUUGGAGGCAUUGGAAACUGGGUGGCUGGAGUGUAGGAGAGGAAAGUGGAAUUCCACGUGUAGCGGUGAAAUGCGUAGAGAUGUGGAGGAACACCAGUGGCGAAGGCGGCUUUCUGGCCUAUAACUGACGCUGAGGCGCGAAAGCGUGGGGAGCAAACAGGAUUAGAUACCCUG
rnacentral:rRNA from 1 species